CCAUUAAAAAAAAACCCUCCUCCCCCUCCGGGCGGAGCUCCCGAAGCUCUCCCCUCUCGCGCGGCCCCCACCCACCCCUCGCAACCAUCACCGCUGCCCACCGUUCCCAUCGCCGCCGCCGUCCCGCUCCCGCGCCUAUAUCAUCGCCAUCUCUCUCCCUCCCCUCGCGUCCAUGCCCCUCCGCUCGCCGCCAUUGACCGGGUGAUUCGCUGCCUCCUCGCUCGUCCCCACACUUCCCCCCACCCGAGCCCGAGCCGAAGCCGCCGUCGUCGUCGUCUCCGCCGCCGCGAGAUCUCCGGCUAUUUCAGCUAUGGUCGCCGCCUCCGGCCUCGCGCCGCCGCGGCUGGUGGCGGUCUCCUGCCCGCGGGCGGCGCGCGGCGUCCAGCGGCUCGGUUUCCUCCGAUCCGCGCCGGUGGCGUCGGGGCCCGCGGCCCCGCAGCUCCGGUGCUGCGCCUCCACCGUCGACGACGGCGUCGUCUCCGCGGCGGCCCCCAAGCCCCGCCUCCCCAGGGUCAUCGGUAUGGGUUCGAAGCUCAUUGGGUGCGGUUCGGCCACUCCAUCACUUAGUGUUUCAAAUGACGACCUUUCAAAAAUAGUUGAAACAUCAGAUGAAUGGAUUGCAGCACGAACUGGGAUUCGGAACAGGCGAGUUCUGUCAGGAAAUGAAACACUGCGGGAGCUUUCAGUACAGGCAGCAAAAAGGGCACUUGAGAUGGCUCAAGUAAAUGCUGAUGAUGUUGACCUUGUUCUCCUUUGUACAUCUACCCCAGAUGAUCUGUUUGGAGGUGCUGCUCAGGUGCUGGCGGAGGUGGGGUGCACAAAUGCAUUUGGCUUUGAUAUUACUGCUGCCUGCAGUGGGUUUAUUAUUGGUUUAAUCACAGCUACUCGUUUUAUCAAAGGUGGAGGCAUCCAGAAUAUUCUAGUAAUUGGUGCUGAUGCUCUUUCGCAAUUCGUGGAUUGGACAGACAGAGGUACAUGCAUCCUCUUCGGUGAUGCUGCUGGUGCUGUUUUGGUUCAGGCAUGUGGUGCUGAUGAAGAUGGCUUGCUGGGUUUUUGUGUUCAAAGCGAUGGCCAUGGGCAAAAGCACUUAAAUUGUGUGUCGUCACAUGUUGAAUCUAUCCUGUCCAAGACCAAUGGUGUCCCUAACUUCCCACCUAAAAAAGCAUCCUUCUCGAACAUUGAAAUGAAUGGAAAGGAGGUUUUUCGCUUUGCUGUGCGAUGCGUUCCACAAUCCAUUGAGAAGGCAUUGGAAGAGGCUGGUUUACCUGCUUCCAGUAUUGAUUGGUUGUUGCUGCAUCAAGCUAAUCAGCGGAUUAUUGAUGCGGCUGCCAGUAGGUUGGAUAUCCCAUCCGACAAAGUUAUUUCAAAUCUUGCUAAUUACGGAAACACAAGUGCAGCCUCAAUUCCAUUAGCAUUAGAUGAGGCUGUUCGCGCUGGCAAGGUGAAGGCAGGUGAUGUUAUUGCAGCAUCUGGUUUUGGUGCUGGACUUACAUGGGGUUCAGCAAUUGUCAAAUGGGGCUGAUCAUUCUGCACCGUGAACAAUUGCAACAAACCAACAGUUCCGAGAUUUCAUGUACGUGGCCUAGGUGUAAGCCUUCCAGGGGUCAAUUUACCCUUUCGUUGUCUGACAUUUUUUUUUUCAAUUGGCUGUCAAUGUGGUUAGCAGCAACUCUGGAUUGUACUACUCCUAGCUCUUUGUAGUUCAAGUGGCUCGUAGAAAUAUUUACAUCUGGGAUUGAACUUAGCUGGCCAUGAGAGAAUAUUACAUUGUAAAGUUACUGGGCCUUGUGCGCCCUGAAUUUUUUUUUAUUGAACUGUGGUCAGCGUUCUGGCACCGAUUAAUAAGCAUGUAAGAAGUGAUGGAUAUAUGUUGUAGCUCAAUCCUGAAUUAAUGCUUCUUAGUGGAGUUUGUUGCUUUCACUUGCUACACUCCAGUACAUGUUCUCUUUGAUAUGUGCGUAGUGUGUGUAUGCCUGUAUGGCUGUUCCCCCAGAUAUGAUACUUUUGACGCAUGUUUUUGUCUUAUUUUUACAUGCUUUUCAGUGUAAGCCCUCUCAGAACUGUCGUAGUGUAAACAUGGAACUGCCAAGAAUUUGAACUGUUGUAGGGAGACAUGUUGAUAAGGAUGAUGAAAUG